CUCUCAUGUUGCAGAUGUCAAGUUCGGAUCCCACUUGGAUCAUUCCCGAUUGCGGACCUGGCGGCCCGUUACAGCGCAUGAACCCCACCGUGGGGAGCCACACUGAUUGAGCUCAGCAGCCAGGUCCCAUGCUGAGUGUCAUAAAUCAGGCCUAUUACCAGCUCCUCCUGGCAGAUGCCACCACCAAGAACUCGUCCACUUGGCUCUGGAGACCCUGCCACCUCUGCACAUGGUACUCCGGGGCUGGCAGGUCUGCCUGGGAAUCUGGGGGCUCCAUCUCACGUCCUGCCCGGGGCUUGCCCUGAAUCUUCUUCUGAAAAGGUGGGAGGUUUCGUAGCCCUGGCCAUGCAUCUGAGCCCUGCGGUUCUGCAGCCCGAGGCUCAAGGAGCAAAAUCAGGGCGUGCUCGGCCACUCCAGCCUGUCCCUGUGUGGUGGCCUUCCUUGUGCUUCAGUACACAGAAGAACCUGCAGGGGGCUUGUUAAAAAGACACAUUUCCCAGCCCCAACCCCACAGGAGAUGCCUUUUGCGCUAGGUCACUCAGCAUGUGACAACUUUCCUGGUGAUUCUGGGGCAGGUGGCUCCUGGGCCUUCCUGGGAGGAGCACUGCCUUAAAACAGACUCUGUCCUCAGAGUAAUGCCUGCGAAAUGAAUGCCUAUAAAUCUAAUCCUUCUUUUCCA